rnacentral:rRNA from 1 species
CCUACGGGAGGCAGCAGUGAGGAAUAUUGGUCAAUGGACGAGAGUCUGAACCAGCCAAGUAGCGUGAAGGAUGACUGCCCUAUGGGUUGUAAACUUCUUUUAUAUGGGAAUAAAAUGUUCCACGUGUGGGAUUUUGUAUGUACCAUAUGAAUAAGGAUCGGCUAACUCCGUGCCAGCAGCCGCGGUAAUACGGAGGAUCCGAGCGUUAUCCGGAUUUAUUGGGUUUAAAGGGAGCGUAGGUGGAUUGUUAAGUCAGUUGUGAAAGUUUGCGGCGCAACCGUAAAAUUGCAGUUGAAACUGGCAGUCGUGAGUACAGUAGAGGUGGGCGGAAUUCGUGGUGUAGCGGUGAAAUGCUUAGAUAUCACGAAGAACUCCGAUUGCGAAGGCAGCUCACUGGACUGCAACUGACACUGAGGCUCGAAAGUGUGGGUAUCAAACAGGAUUAGAUACCCCAGUAGUC